GACAGCUCUGAGAACGGAGCAUGAUCGUGGGCCACCCAGAGACGUCACAGCCGUGGCCCUGGGAACUCCUGGAUAGCUGCUAUGUGCCAGGCCCGGCUCUGGACACGGGCCCCAAAGAUGGAGUCAGCCUCGGUCCCUGCCCUCACGGCGUUCGCUUUCUGGAGGGAAAGACAGAUGACCAAAUAAGAAAUGUGACGCCCACAGAGGUUAUUGUUUCAUUCACUUAAUA